GGUUUAUUUUCUUGAUAUUAUCCAUGGUGAAAGAGAACUACAGUUUUAAUCCUUCAAAAACAUAAUAGGAAAUUCCUACAACAGCCAUUUCUAGAAGCAUCGGUAAUAGGUUGCAAAGUUAUGAGAGAAUAUGCCCCAAUAGCUUCUAAAACUUCGUUUUGCUUUUAGAAUCAUACGUGCUCAAAGUUUCGAUGAUGAGGUCAGACAACUCCAAGAGUUUUGGCGCCUAGGAGAGCAGCCCAAGAGAACCUCUUCUAAUGGUAAGCCCAGCACCAUCGUGGAUCAGCUAGAGGCCGGCAUGCUGACUGAUGAAGUAUCUACUAGUCCUAUAAGCAACCAAUAGGGAGAUAGUUAUUGGUCAGCUUACAUUCAACAAAAGAAGAAUUAUAAGAGAAUAAAAAAAGGGGUGCCAAUAUCGAAUAGCAUGGCAUUAGUUAUGAAUUAGUUACAGGGGCGUAACCAGGUUAGCAUAGAGACCGGUCAAUCGAUCUGCUCCACCUCAUUAGCUUAUAAAGUUGUCAUACUAAUCAAACUUGUUGCGAACCAACAACUUUCAACAAAACACAGUUACUCAUAAAAAAUACAGACAAUAGGUCGCUAACCAAUUAAGUGAUUUUUCAGGUCUCACCUUUUUAUGUACCUCAAUCCUAACCUCUUUAUCCACUGCAAAUUUCUGUCCUGCAAAAGAAGUUCCCUAAGCUGCAAAAUAAACAACAUGAGACCAACCUUUACCACUAACAAUAAGGAACAACAAAUCAUCGGUUUGAUCAAACCUGGUCUGAAUUUUAAAAAAUUCAUUGAGACCACACAAGGAAACCUUGGAAUUUUACCCGAAAAGAACAAAAAUUGAGAGGAAAAACUCGAACUAAUUAAGCACAUCAUGUAUUGUACAUCCCUGCAUCCUUCCCAAGAAAUUGUGUAUAGAUCGAAGCAAGAAGCAGUUGUCCACAUAUCAAUCAAAGAACAAUUUUGGUGGAGUAACAAAGGGAUUUUGCCUCACCGGUGGAGCAUCUUUUGAGGUGAUUGGAGUGACUUACCAUACCCCCGUGGCCACCGGAUGUACAUACUGCUAGCGACGCUCCCCGUGCCAUUCCCCACGCGACAGAACUUGACACACGAUAUGGACCUGGCAGGCCAUCGACGCACCCCGUGCCAUUCCCCACGGGACAGAACUUGACGCACGAUAUGGGCCUGGCAGGCCAUCGACACACCCCGUGCCAUACCCCACGCGACAGAACUUGACGCACGAUAUGGACCUGGCAGGCCAUCGACGCACCCCGUGCCAUUCCCCACGGGACAGAACUUGACGCACGAUAUGGACCUGGCAGGCCAUCGACGCACCGCGUGCCAUUCCCCACGCGACAGAACUUGACGCACGAUAUGGACCUGACAGGCCAUCGACGCACCGCGUGCCAUUCCCCACGCGACAGAACUUGACGCACGAUAUGGACCUGGCAGGCCAUCGACGCACCGCGUGCCAUUCCCCACGCGACAGAACUUGACGCACGAUAUGGACCUGAAAGGCCAUCGACGCAUCCCGUGCCAUUCCCCACGCGACAGAACUUGACGCACGAUAUGGACCUGACAGGCCAUCGACGCACCUUGUGCCAUUCCCCAUGCGACAGAACUUGACGCGCGAUAUGGACCUGCCAGACCAUCGUAUGGACAAUGACCCAUCAGGGGAAGGGGCUGCCUAGAAUCUAGAGCUCCUCGUGGCAGGGCGGCUCGGCUCACCGGGUUCAAAGCGGAGGAGGGAGGCGGCACGGGGAUGGAGGCGACUUUGGCGGCACGGGCGGUGAACGGGAGGUCGGCGCGGGCCCCGACGACACUGGAAAUCAAUACAUCAGAGCAGCGGGGAACCGAAUGUGGUGGUCCAGGAGUGGUCGUCAUUGGACGGACUGUGAGGAGCGGCGGCGGCGGUGCAGGAGAAAGGAUAUGCAAUUUUUUAGAUGUGUGCGUGUGUUCUCUUAAAUGAGGAGGUCUGCGUGUAGUGAAA
rnacentral:lncRNA from 1 species